rnacentral:rRNA from 1 species
AGGACGAACGCUGGCGGCGUGCUUAACACAUGCAAGUCGAGCGAGGCCCUCUCUUCGGAGAGGUGCCCUAGCGGCGAACGGGUGAGUAACACGUGGGCAACCUGCCCCUAGCACUGGGAUAAGCCCCGGGAAACCGGGUCUAAUACCGGAUAUGACCUUCAAGGGCAUCCUCGAAGGUGUAAAGGAUUCUGGCUAGGGAUGGGCCCGCGGCCUAUCAGCUUGUUGGUGGGGUAAUGGCCCACCAAGGCAACGACGGGUA